CCGGGCCCCAAGAAACCCGGACCAUCGCCUCCUGGGACCAAAGGUGCCCUCCACCCCUUGCGCCAUCGGUCCCAGCCCGCGUGCGGGUGGGUCCCCAAUGCUAGGGCCGUGGAGCGCGCGCUUUCCUGAGCUCCCUCAAAAGAAGGAGUUUUGUUUUAUUGUUAUUUUGUGUUUCUUUUUAGUUCGGACGCGCUCAGUGUUAGGCCGAGGGAUCGGAGAGGAACGGUGGCAAAGAGAUAAAGGAGCAGCCGCUAGGAAGGCGGAGGGCGGCGGCUCCGGCUGCUGCGUGAAGCCGAGGGCGCAGGAGGGGUUGGAGCUGGCCGCGCCCGUCGGGCCGAGUAGCUGCGCGCCGCGAUCCGCCCGGGACUCCCUGUGAGCCGCCACCAGGCCGCGGCGCCGGAACCUGGGGCCCACCGGGACCCCGCGCCUCCUCACCUGCGGGAACCGGGACACCUGCGCCGCCGCCUCCCCAGCACCGUCUCCGGGGCUCCUACUGAAGCGCAGAAGCUCAUCUUAGCUUAGGAAUCUUGAACGCACCACAGCCAACCACACAGAGAAAACAGCCCCCACCCACUCCUGUCUGGCGCUUUUUCCUCUUUGUUUAAUUAAGAUGACUUCCAGAAUUCUCUUUUUAGGAGAAGUCUACCCUCCCCCGGACAAACCCUUCCCUUCUCCUGUCGUCAGGGAUCUGCGUGGAAAAUAAUGAAAAGUCAGUACUUGGAGAGGAUUCUUUUCCGCUGCCCCUCGAAGUACUCGAGUUGAGAGGGUCAAGUAACCAGGAUAAUUUCUAAUUUCUAAAUAACAUCCAAAAGCCGACUUACUGUGUACCAGGUGAACCUAUAAACCAUUGCUGACCCUUUGAAAAUAUUUACUGUUUCUCUUUUCUCAAGAAGUAAGGGUCCUUUGCUAGAUGAAAAUGACGGCAGCCUUCGGGUUUCUGUACGCUCCUGUGGGUGAGAUACUCCUGUUACUGCUGUUGGAGACUCUCUCUUUCCCAGCCUGCUUGGGAGCAAAAUGAGAGCGCCCAUGUCUUUAGCUGGACAGAGCUCCUGUCUCUAUAGCAGUGCCCACUCCUGGGUGGACCAGUGCAUGGCCUACUCGGACUACCUUUUAAAAGGAUGCUGCCCUUGCUUGGAUGCCAC
rnacentral:lncRNA from 1 species